rnacentral:rRNA from 1 species
UACGUAGGGUCCGAGCGUUGUCCGGAAUUACUGGGCGUAAAGAGCUCGUAGGUGGUUUGUCGCGUUGUUCGUGAAAACUCACAGCUUAACUGUGGGCGUGCGGGCGAUACGGGCAGACUAGAGUACUGCAGGGGAGACUGGAAUUCCUGGCGUAGCGGUGGAAUGCGCAGAUAUCAGGAGGAACACCGGUGGCGAAGGCGGGUCUCUGGGCAGUAACUGACGCUGAGGAGCGAAAGCGUGGGGAGCGAACAGG